rnacentral:misc_RNA from 1 species
GCGGAAGAGAAAGACAGAAGAGUAAGUAACAUGCUCCUUAAGUUUCAUCCUUGGUUGGCUGUUCGUGGAAAUGAUUGCAGUACCGGCGUUAUUUAUUCUCCCUCUCCCUCUCUCAUUCUGUGUGUUGGUGGUACUCAAUAAAGAGGUUCUCUUGCUAAUCAAUCUAUCCUUAAUAAAAAAGGUUCUCUUGCUAAUCAGUCUAUCCUAUGUCCCCCAAAAUGGAAAGUGAAUGAUAAAUUUGGCUGGGAGCAUACUCUAUAUUGAAUCUGCAAGCAAGGGAAAUAAACAUUGAAAUUGAUUUUUGCUUUUGGUGUAGUAGUCCAAAACAAAUGCUAUAUUUAUCACCAGUGUUAUAUCAUGUUCUUGUUUCUGUUGGA